UGGAAACCUGAGUACAGCCUUCAGGCUCUUUGUUUUUUCAGUCUGAGGACACCAGGGGCAGAACUGCCGCCAUGGCAGUGGCAGAGGGGCUGUAAGUUGCCUCUGGGAGCCCCUCCUCAGCAAAAACAGAGCCACUAGCAGUAAGAAUGCUCAGCUGGGGGUAGAGCAGGUGUUCUGUGGUCCAGCGUUUGGGGCCCUGCCUGGUGAAGAGUUGGGGAUCUGGAACUCAUCAAUGGAUGGAGAGGCUGAUUUCCCUCUAUGAAAAGAUUUUCAACACCAUGGCAAGUGGGAAGAAACAUCAGAAGCAGUUGAGGGAUCAAGAAGUGGGUCCUCCAGGGAUGAGGAGGCAUUCUGCUUCACGGCUUUUUAAAAUCUUUCCUCCUGAGUCAUCUUCCCAUUAAUGACUUUUUUUUGGUUUGUUUGUUUUAUAAAUCUCUUUUUGAUUUUAUAAACUGAAGAUUUCUUGUUCUGUAAUAAACACACACUUUUCUAGUCCUUCAAUAAACUUUCACACAUUUUUAUCAUGUUGUCUAUAGGCACUUUUUCCACAGUUUUAACGUCAUCUUCAUGAUCACUGUAAUCAUGAUCACCUUAAUUUGGAACCAUCUGGGCUCUUUGACCACUGGUCAGUGAAUUAACUGGAGCCUCAUUAUCGAUGUUAAAAAUGUCUCCAAUAUCUACUGCUUCGAACUUACUGGUAAACUCUGAAGUUCCAUAUUUUUGCAUAUGUAAGAAUAUCCAGCAUCAUUUUAUUUCUCACUUGACACAUGGAAUCCUUCAAACUCACCACCUUGUUCAUCACAUCACUGAACAUAAUCCCAGGGCAGAGGUUGUGCCAGGCAUAUACCCAACUGUCUUUAACCACUGUGAUCGUAGCAUUGGCAACAGCAUGUAUGGUAUCUUUCAUGCUAAAUUCUUCUUGAAAAUCUGACACAUCCAUGCCUCCAUUUGCUGCUGCUAGCAUGCUGUUAAAGAAAGUGUUUUAAUAUUUAUACUUCCUUUAUAUUUGGGAGAAAGCACAUGAAGUACACGUGUAAACAUUAUUUUUGAUGAGAAUUUCAGCUGCGGGAUGACCAG
rnacentral:lncRNA from 10 species